rnacentral:snRNA from 9 species
AUAGCAGCGGUCGCCGCAUUUCGCAUCAAUCUUUCGCCUUUUACUAAAGAUUGCCGUGCGGCGUCCGCAUUCAAUGCAUCUUUUCUAAUUUUUUCUGGCGCUCCGGCGCCUA